rnacentral:rRNA from 1 species
UACGUAGGGUCCGAGCGUUGUCCGGAGUUACUGGGCGUAAAGCGCGCGCAGGCGGCGGUAUAAGCAUGGCGUGAAAGCCCCAGGCUCAACCUGGGAGGGUCGUCGUGGACUGUACCGCUUGAGGGCGAUAGGGGCUGGUGGAAUGCCUGGUGUAGUGGUGAAAUGCGUAGAGAUCAGGCGGAACACCCGUGGCGAAGGCGGCCAGCUGGGUCGUCCCUGACGCUGAGGCGCGAAGGCGUGGGGAGCGAACAGG